GACGAACGCUGGCGGCGUGCCUAAUACAUGCAAGUAGAACGCUGAAGCUUGGUGCUUGCACCGAGCGGAUGAGUUGCGAACGGGUGAGUAACGCGUAGGUAACCUGCCUGGUAGCGGGGGAUAACUAUUGGAAACGAUAGCUAAUACCGCAUAAUAGUAGAUGUUGCAUGACAUUUGCUUAAAAGGUGCAAUUGCAUCACUACCAGAUGGACCUGCGUUGUAUUAGCUAGUUGGUGAGGUAACGGCUCACCAAGGCAACGAUACAUAGCCGACCUGAGAGGGUGAUCGGCCACACUGGGACUGAGACACGGCCCAGACUCCUACGGGAGGCAGCAGUAGGGUAUCUUCGGCAAUGGACGGAAGUCUGACCGAGCAACGCCGCGUGAGUGAAGAAGGUUUUCGGAUCGUAAAGCUCUGUUGUAAGAGAAGAACGAGUGUGAGAGUGGAAAGUUCACACUGUGACGGUAUCUUACCAGAAAGGGACGGCUAACUACGUG
rnacentral:rRNA from 1 species